UCAGGUAGGCUCCCUUGUUCCUACUGUACUUGAUCUAUAUUUAUCUUUAUUUUCUUUCCAUAUAUUUCUUUUUGGAACUGGUAUGCCAGGUCAAUUAAUCGUAACUCGAUGCGAUAUGACAUGUUUUGGUGUCAUCUCUGGUGUCAAUCUAGGUCAGCAUCUUGACCAAUUGUGGUUUCUCUUUAACUUCUAUUGCUCCUCUCUUGCGGUUCAUGGGACCGGAAGAGAUGUCGCUUUGCGUUCCAGGCACCGGUAGCUGCCAGGGUCUGCGGUCCAUUGUACCACAGCAUACUUCCGGUUGCGCUUCACACUAUCUGUGUGGCGCUGCGAAUAGUUCCGCCUUCUGUGCGGGUCAAUUCGCCGGAUGUGACGUCUUUGCUGCGUUCCAUACACCGGAAGCAGCAUCAUCAAAGACGCCCGGGAGCUCUAUUUAAACGCCGGGUGAGCUUCGAUAUCCAGCGGCGUGCUGGCGCUCACCAUCUCCGGUAGCAUACAUCAUAUCCUCAUCUGACAAGCUACCUGGGAUCUAUCUCAGGCUAAAAUGGCCUCAUCUUGUUUAUGCACACGCUGACUCUAUUUAGUGGCUGUGGACAGUUAUCAAUUUUGAUUUGGAACCAAUUGAAUCUGGCUUAUAUGGGAUAUCAUACAUGUACAGGCUGUCGCAUCAGGACCUAACGUUACCUUCUUGAUCUAUCAUCAUUUUCUAUUGAUUAUGGCAUCUACCACUUAUUCACACCUGUGG